rnacentral:lncRNA from 1 species
CCAAGUCAUGGAUAAAUGAAACCAGGUUUGAAAUAUAUGGCUCUAGCAUCACAUAGAAUGGCAUAAACCUUUAUAUGGAUAUUUCAUCGGCAAAUCAAAACCAAUUGUUCUUGCUUUCCCACAAAGAACAAAAUUUUAUGGAGCCCAAGGCUCUUUUUAGCUGUCCAACACCAGUACUAUAUAGACCAAACCAUUAAAUCAAAAUAAAUUUAUGUUAGGAAUUGAUGUCUUAAGAUUAGAUCUACACUGAGUCUACAGUAAGAUCCACGAUGAUGAACAGAGUCCAACAAGCCCAAGAUCAGCCCAAAUAGAGAUCGGAUAAAGAAAAUAUGCUUGAUAGAAGAUGGCACGAAAAUCGAAGCAAUGG